rnacentral:lncRNA from 1 species
CGGUGGUUACUGUGGUGGAAACUUGUGGUGGUGGUGCCACUCUACUUAUUGUCGCAUUUAGCCCCGUGGAUCGCUGUGGUCCCAUUCCUUGGAUAUUGGAAUUUUCACUCGUGGAAUUUUCUAAAUUUCUAACCAUUGUAUUCUUCUUUUACGUUUUAUCAAAGAAUCUUUGCAAAUAAAAAGUUCUAAUAAUAAAAACAUACAAAAAAAUACACGUACACUAGAAAAUAGAGAAAAACCUUUUUUAUGUGAGAGUCUUCUAUGAGUGUGGAUUUCUUCCCUCAAUGAAAGCACCAAUUUGUGGAUGCAAAUUUCUUCCUCCUUGAUCUUGGACAUAAUUGCACCUACAAAACAAUUAACACCUUGGGUCAAGGCUAGACCAAGCAGUUUCUGACACGACACGGUGACAUGACACGAAAAUAACGGGUUUCGGAUCAACACAAUAACUUAUCGGGUCAUUAUCUGGUGACCCGUUAAGAACCCAUUAAUAACGGGUUCUUAAUGGGUAUACACGCGGGUAACACGUGGGUAACCUGUUUCGACCCGUUAAGAAAAUAUUUAUUUUGAUAAUUUUAAAGUUUAAUUACUAAAAGAUUUCUUAUAAAAUACAAUAGCCAUAUUAAUAUAUACAAUAUAUUCUAUACUAAAUAUAUAGUUUUGUAUUAUUAUUCUAUAUAAGUUUUAAAAAAAAAGUUUUAGUCAUUAUUUAUUUUUAUUAUGAGAGUUCCUUAUUACCAUUACUAGGAUAAAUUUUACUUAACAUGUUGUUGUCCAAAAUUAAAAUAAACUAAUAUAGUAUUUGUAUAGGAAAGAACUAAGAAGACAUACAUACAAGUAUGAAAAAUGAAAAAGAAUAUAUAAACACUCGUGAUUUACGCUUACAUUAUCGUUUAGAUUUUUAAAAUCCUCCAAACCUUCAUGAAUAAUGUUUUUUAUUUGAGGGAAAAAUUAAUAAUAAUUAUUGUAAAAGCGUAAAAAAUGUAAAAAAAAUAUACAAUCACUCAUAGUGACAAACUUUACAACUUUCAUGAAGGGGUCAACUUCGAAAUCCAACACUAUAAUUCAUAAACCUUAAAUUUAUAUUUAACCGUCGAUUGUCAUUUACGCUUUAUUUUUCUUACUGAAUUUCAUUUUUAAAAUUUUCUUUUUUGAAAACAUGAUCAUAUGGCGGAUGUAAGAAGAUGAACGGUUCAGAUCUUUGAUAUCACAUUACGAUAUUUACGGUUAACUGAAAUAUGAGUCGAUGUCAUAUAAUUUGUAGAAACUUUAUAAACAUCAAGCAAUAUUUUCACUAACCGUAAAACUCUAAAUAUAAUAUCAACGAUCCAAACCGUUCAUCUUCCUGCAUCCUCUAAUAGAUCAAGUUUUCAAAAAAGAAAAUCUGAAAAUACAAAAUUUGAUGAGAACAAUGAAGCAUAAAUGUAAACAACAAUCAACGGUUAAAUUUUGAUCUAUGAUUUAUAUGAUUAUAGUGCGAAUUUUGAAGUUAAGCUCUUCAUGACAGUUAUAAAGCUUGUCAUUACGAGCGUUUAUGUAUUUUUUCUAUAUUUUUUUACACUUCUACAUUAAUUAAAAAACUAUUAAAGACUUUAGGUAAGUGAAAAUAUACUUAAAAGAAAAUUGUGUUUUAUGUUUUGGAUGUGACAAUAUGAUAUGUAUAUACUUAUUUAGUAUUAUGUUUUUCAUUUGAUUAUUUAUUGGUUUAAAAUAUAUUAUCCUUAACGGGUAACGAGUCAAGUCAUAUUACCUGUUAAUAUUAUCGGGUUUCAGGUCGGGUCAUUUUACCCGUUUAUUUUAACGGGUGUUACACGACACGACCCGUUAAGAUAUCGGGUAUGACACGAAAACGACACGAACACGGAAAACACGACACAAAUGCCAGGUCUAGUCAAGGCCAAGAGCCUCACGCGCCCACG